UUUUGACCUUGAGACUCGCGUGUUCGCAUAUCCUUCGAUUGCUUCAAUGGAUUUUAGAGUUUGCAUCAUUGCUGUGUUCAUGAGUUUAAUCAUCUCAAAAUUGGAUGCCAGAAGGGACAUCACUUGUCUGGCUGCAGAAAACUUUUCUAAGAUCUCAGUGGAGCUGAGCGACCUUUUGGGCACUUGGUACGAAAUCAAACGCACACCAUUUCCACGAGAAAAUUUUCUGAGAUGCGCCAAGUUCGAAAUCAGUAGCCUUGAAACUCCUCAAGGUGAAAAGAUCCAGUUCCUGCUCACUGGAAUACAUCCAUUUGUGCCAAGGUAUUUCCAUUUCGGAAAUCUAGUAACAGACGAUAUCAAUGAUAUGCAGAACUUUACGUUGAAAUUCGACGAUUCCUACGACUUACGAGUUAUACGAGUGCUCGAUCUUAAACGGGACGAGUAUGUGCUACUUCAUUCUUGUUAUAUAGGGGAAAUUUCGAGUUAUAUUUAUAAGGACGAGUAUGCAUGGAUUUUGUCACGCAGUCUGAAUAUUAGUCCAAAACUGAUCGAACAAGCAGAAGAAAUUUUGUUCUCACGAACUAAUAUGUCACGAAAAAGUUUAACUCAUACAUGGUCAAAAAUCUGUAAAAACGUUGGCUAACGAUUUUUCUACAAAAAACUAUUUCUACAAGUACUAUUUAUUUAUUUCAUCAUAUUUCAUGACAUUGAUUUUCAUUCA